GGGGCUGUAGCUCAGUUGGGAGAGCGCUUCAAUGGCAUUGAAGAGGUCAUCGGUUCGAUCCCGUUCAGCUCCA
rnacentral:tRNA from 1 species